GUUUUUCAGCUUUCAUUCACUGAGAUAUUGUCAUUUAUCAAAGGAUUAGUCUGUAAAUAUCAUUUGAAGGCAAAAUAACUACCCCCUGCCAAUAUCUAAUAUGGACUCAAUUUUGCCAGCUAUAGAAUUUUGUCUUCUUAGUAUGCAUUCUAAAAUAAUAAUAUUAUGUUAUGUAGCCAAUAGAUUUGCCUAAACAUGCCGUUUUAAAGAUUUUCUUUAUACCUGUGUUUCAAGUUAUAAGAAUUAAAAUGUAUGAGUAUAAAAAAGGAUAUAAAAAUGAUAAGCUCCUACUUUCAAUCAGUGUUGGUGAAACUAUUUUGAGACAAGAGAUUUCAUUUAGAUAACUUAAGUUGGGAAUCUGUUCCUCUUUCGAAGAGCCUGUGUGAUGACUGAAAGUGCUGUGUGUUUUCAGUGACCUUGAGGAAGGGAGCCAGUCAUUUCUUCUUAAGGGUUGUAAGAAGU
rnacentral:lncRNA from 1 species